GACGAACGCUGGCGGCGUGCCUAAUACAUGCAAGUCGUACGCUUCUUUUUCCACCGGAGCUUGCUCCACCGGAAAAAGAAGAGUGGCGAACGGGUGAGUAACACGUGGGUAACCUGCCCAUCAGAAGGGGAUAACACUUGGAAACAGGUGCUAAUACCGUAUAACAAUCGAAACCGCAUGGUUUUGAUUUGAAAGGCGCUUUCGGGUGUCGCUGAUGGAUGGACCCGCGGUGCAUUAGCUAGUUGGUGAGGUAACGGCUCACCAAGGCUACGAUGCAUAGCCGACCUGAGAGGGUGAUCGGCCACAUUGGGACUGAGACACGGCCCAAACUCCUACGGGAGGCAGCAGUAGGGAAUCUUCGGCAAUGGACGAAAGUCUGACCGAGCAACGCCGCGUGAGUGAAGAAGGUUUUCGGAUCGUAAAACUCUGUUGUUAGAGAAGAACAAGGAUGAGAGUAACUGUUCAUCCCUUGACGGUAUCUAACCAGAAAGCCACGGCUAACUACGUGCCAGCAGCCGCGGUAAUACGUAGGUGGCAAGCGUUGUCCGGAUUUAUUGGGCGUAAAGCGAGCGCAGGCGGUUUCUUAAGUCUGAUGUGAAAGCCCCCGGCUCAACCGGGGAGGGUCAUUGGAAACUGGGAGACUUGAGUGCAGAAGAGGAGAGUGGAAUUCCAUGUGUAGCGGUGAAAUGCGUAGAUAUAUGGAGGAACACCAGUGGCGAAGGCGGCUCUCUGGUCUGUAACUGACGCUGAGGCUCGAAAGCGUGGGGAGCAAACAGGAUUAGAUACCCUGGUAGUCCACGCCGUAAACGAUGAGUGCUAAGUGUUGGAGGGUUUCCGCCCUUCAGUGCUGCAGCUAACGCAUUAAGCACUCCGCCUGGGGAGUACGACCGCAAGGUUGAAACUCAAAGGAAUUGACGGGGGCCCGCACAAGCGGUGGAGCAUGUGGUUUAAUUCGAAGCAACGCGAAGAACCUUACCAGGUCUUGACAUCCUUUGACCACUCUAGAGAUAGAGCUUCCCCUUCGGGGGCAAAGUGACAGGUGGUGCAUGGUUGUCGUCAGCUCGUGUCGUGAGAUGUUGGGUUAAGUCCCGCAACGAGCGCAACCCUUAUUGUUAGUUGCCAUCAUUCAGUUGGGCACUCUAGCAAGACUGCCGGUGACAAACCGGAGGAAGGUGGGGAUGACGUCAAAUCAUCAUGCCCCUUAUGACCUGGGCUACACACGUGCUACAAUGGGAAGUACAACGAGUCGCGAAGUCGCGAGGCUAAGCUAAUCUCUUAAAGCUUCUCUCAGUUCGGAUUGUAGGCUGCAACUCGCCUACAUGAAGCCGGAAUCGCUAGUAAUCGCGGAUCAGCACGCCGCGGUGAAUACGUUCCCGGGCCUUGUACACACCGCCCGUCACACCACGAGAGUUUGUAACACCCGAAGUCGGUGAGGUAACCUUUUGGAGCCAGCCGCCUAAGGUGGGAUAGAUGA
rnacentral:rRNA from 1 species